AUCAGCGGAGAUGAGCAUCGUGGAGGAGACAAUGGUGUGCAGAGGAUCCAUGCCACCAGCCCUGCAGACCCUCUAGCAAGAGGGGCGAGAAUUGUCAGAGACCAGGCCUGGCUCAUUUAUUUGUAUACGUACCGUGCAAACAUUUUUGAACUGUCUUCUAUUCUCCAUCUGCUUUAUCUAUGUUUACUCCAUAUGCUUCUUGGCAGCAAGCUAGCUGCCUUCUUGUUCAUUUUUAACUUACAAGAGGUCCUCUUCCUCCCUCUCCCUGGGUUGCCUCUGUGGAUGCUAUUAUCUUUUCAACAAUCAAUGUUUGGCAAUAGCCCAGGUACAGAACGGCUAGGUCUAGAGACCAUUCCUCAAUUGAGAGCCCAGAAUACUAUUUUAAAUAAAUGUGCAGAUUUAGAAAAAGGACAAAUAUCAAGUAAAUCUUGUCUAUGAUGCCCCAUCAAGUAAUAUUCCUGAAGAUUAGCUGCUAGAACCUAUGAAUCUCAGGACCUAUAAAUAACCUGCUUUUGACAAGCAACAUAUAUACAUUUUCUUUAAGAGCUAAAUGUCAGGAAAUUCAUUCCUGGAGAUCUACACGAAGACACGCAUGUCGACAUGCUGCUACCUCUGUAAUAAAUGUGGAGAUGUAAAAUACAGAUCAUAUCGCCGAAUUUUUCACGUCCUCAUCAGCCACCUCAAAGAAUCAAAGAUGAGGAAGUCCUCACUGAAAUCAAGGAUUGCAACUUUCUCUAGAGGCAAUUUCCAUUCUCAUGUUUUUUCUCCCAGACCCAGACUAUUAAAAUUGGAAGAGGAAUAUAGAAUGAAAAAUCAGGCUCAAACCUUUCACAGAUGAAUGUACGACAAGAAUAGAGGUGGAUUGCAGUUUUGCAUUGAUUAUGAACAGCCGUAUCUAUAGACAUAUUGAUGAAUCCCAUGGAGAGAAGCAAUCGAGUUCUGUGAACAUGGUUAUAUGAGUAUUUUUAAGCCUACAAUGUUAUCAAGAGCACAUAAGGUGAAUGGCCUAAGAAAAUGCAGAGUGUGAAUCAUUUCAUUCAACACUAGUUUAAUUUGCAAGUCCAGAUUUGAAUCUAAAUCCAUAGGGAUAAAAAUAAACCUCAACUUAAAUUUUG
rnacentral:lncRNA from 10 species